rnacentral:rRNA from 1 species
UACGUAGGGUGCAAGCGUUGUCCGGAAUUAUUGGGCGUAAAGAGCUCGUAGGCGGUUUGUCGCGUCGAAUGUGAAAACCCGGGGCUCAACCCCGGGCCUGCAUUCGAUACGGGCAGACUAGAGUUCGGUAGGGGAGUCUGGAAUUCCUGGUGUAGCGGUGAAAUGCGUAGAGAUCUGGAAGAACACCAAAGGCGAAGGCAGCAUCCUGGCUCGUAACUGACGCUGAUGUGCGAAAGCUAGGGGAGCGAACGGG